rnacentral:rRNA from 1 species
GGUGAACGCUGGCGGCGUGCCUAAGACAUGCAAGUCGAGCGGGCCGCGGGGUUUUACUCCGUGGUCAGCGGCGGACGGGUGAGUAACGCGUGGGUGACCUACCCGGAAGAGGGGGACAACCCGGGGAAACUCGGGCUAAUCCCCCAUGUGGACCCGCCCCUUGGGGUGUGUCCAAAGGGCUUUGCCCGCUUCCGGAUGGGCCCGCGUCCCAUCAGCUAGUUGGUGGGGUAAUGGCCCACCAAGGCGACGACGGGUAGCCGGCCUGAGAGGGUGGCCGGCCACAGGGGCACUGAGACACGGGCCCCACUCCUACGGGAGGCUGCAGUUAGGAAUCUUCCGCAAUGGGCGCAAGCCUGACGGAGCGACGCCGCUUGGAGGAAGAAGCCCUUCGGGGUGUAAACUCCUGAACCCGGGACGAAACCCCCGACGAGGGGAUUGACGGUACCGGGGUAAUAGCGCCGGCCAACUCCGUG